UACGAAGGGGGCUAGCGUUGCUCGGAAUCACUGGGCGUAAAGCGCACGUAGGCGGGUCGUUAAGUCAGGGGUGAAAUCCUGGAGCUCAACUCCAGAACUGCCCUUGAUACUGGCGAUCUCGAGUUCGGGAGAGGUGAGUGGAACUGCGAGUGUAGAGGUGAAAUUCGUAGAUAUUCGCAAGAACACCAGUGGCGAAGGCGGCUCACUGGCCGAUACUGACGCUGAGGUGCGAAGCGUGGGAGCAACAGGA
rnacentral:rRNA from 1 species